rnacentral:misc_RNA from 1 species
GUGAAUCAUCAAAUCUUUGAACGCAAAUUGCACUCUCUGGUAUUCCGGAAAGCAUGCCUGUUCGAGGGUCAGUUAAAUAAAAAACGGUGUGGUUGCUGCUUGGCGUGGUGACGCGUCGGAAUUGAGUUGUCUUACCUUCGGUCAAGUGGCUUAAAAGUUUGCAUGAGUUUCGAACGUAUUUAAAUUUAUCACGUAGGUUUGAGAUACCGAAUACUAUAUUAGGUUCGGUCAUCCUAAUGAUGCGCACCUAUAAUUUUUCAUUAAAUGAACUCAAAUCAGGAAAGAAUA